AGUGAAACGCCGUAGUGCCGAUGGUAGUGUGGGUAUUACCCAUGUGAGAGUAGGGUGCCGCCAGAC
rnacentral:rRNA from 1 species